UACGUAGGGUGCAAGCGUUAGGCGGAAUCACUGGGCUUAAAGCGUGUGUAGGCGGACGCCUAAGUGUCUUGUGAAAUCCCACGGCUCACCCGUGGAACUGCUGGGCAUACUGGGCGUCUUGGGCCAACUAGGGGCAGCCGGAACAAGCGGUGGAGCGGUGAAAUGCGUAGAUAUCGCUUGGAACGCCGAAGGUGAAAACAGGCUGCUGGGGUUGUGCCGACGCUGAGACACGAAAGCCAGGGGAGCAAACGGG
rnacentral:rRNA from 1 species